CCAGACUCCUACGGGAGGCAGCAGUGAGGAAUAUUGGUCAAUGGGCGCGAGCCUGAACCAGCCAAGUCGCGUGAGGGAAGACGGUCCUAUGGAUUGUAAACCUCUUUUGUCGGGGAGCAAAAGACGCCACGCGUGGCGUUCCGAGAGUACCCGAAGAAAAAGCAUCGGCUAACUCCGUGCCAGCAGCCGCGGUAAUACGGAGGAUGCGAGCGUUAUCCGGAUUUAUUGGUUUUAAAGGGUGCGCAGGCGGAAGAUCAAGUCAGCGAUAAAUUUGAGAGGCACAACCUCUUCGAGCCGUUGAAACUGGUUUUCUUGAGUGAGUGAGAAGUAUGCGGAAUGCGUGGUGUAGCGGGGAAAUGCAUGGAUAUCACGCAGAACUCCGAUUGCGAAGGCAGCAUACCGGCGCGCAACUGACGCUCAUGCACGAAAGCGUGGGUAUCGAACAGGAUUAGAUACCCGCGUA
rnacentral:rRNA from 1 species